GAAAAACCUAGUGCACCAACAACCUUACAAAGAGAUCCUAUAAAGCUUAGGUUUUGAAAAGAAUUUCUCUUUGAGGUCGUAUUCUUCUUAUUGAUUUCUCUUUGACUUGAUUUUGUCUUUGUGAUUGUCACUUUGAAAAUCUACUUGUCUAAUCACACUUGAAACAUAAUCAUUAGUUUCAAACCUUGUUUUGUUAUCAUUAAAAUCGAGAUUAAUCAAACUUUGGUUUCACACAUACACAUACACACACAUAUAUAUAUAUAUACACACACACACAAAUAAGUGUGUGAUAAGAAACCAACAACCCUAGCUCUCAUUCAAUACUCAAGUGCAAUAGGGAGACACAUCUCAUUUUUCAAUCACUUUACCAACUUUGUCUCCUCCAACUUCUAUAUCAAUAUCUUGCAUCACAAUCCUUGUCACACCCUAACUAAAAGCGUGACAGUCAUUUCACAUCUCAAGUCCAGAAACUCAAAGUAAAAAUGACAAUAAUAUCCAUUUUAUAACUAGAAGUUACCAAUUACUAAAUUUUUGUUCAAAAUAAUAGAAUAAAUUUUAUAAUCUUUAAAUCUCAAUUUUAAAACUAACACAUCAAUCAAAGUGCUAUUGUUCAAACUUAACAAUUUAAACAGUCAUUAAAUUCCAACUUUUGAAUAAUAUCCAAAAAAUAAAGUUUAAAUCAAAAGUCUUAAUAAUGGUCAAAAUCUCAUCCUAACCGUCAUUUCUCAUUUGAACUGAGAAUACCUAAAAAAUUGUCAACAAAAGUGAAUGAGCCCAAAACCCAAUAAGGAAUAUUAUUACAAUUUCAUGGAUCAAACAUUUUCAACUAUGAUUUCAAAUAAGAGAUAUAAUAUACAAUUUUUUUCAUAAAAACUUUUGAGUCCAAACAUGCUAAUACAUUCCAAACUUUUGAACCAAACAUUUUUAUAUCUAUGUUAAAACAAUUUCAUAUCAUUUACAUUCAAAAUAUUUUUACUUUGAUUAUCAAAUAACAAAUAUUGCCCAAUAAGGUAGGACUUUACAAAUUGGUAGCUAGCAUCAAAUUAGUUCAUUUUAAUGUGGACGAAACCAAAUACUACUAGUACUAAUAACGUCUAACCAAACCCCUAAAGGUUAGGGUUCAAAUAAAUUAUAUUACUCAUCACAAAAUGUAAAGGUCAACUAUCAUAUUCUGUUGACAAAUGUCAAAAAGUCAACUAUUAUAUCUCGUUAACUAUGGUCGAAAAGUCAACUAUGAUAUCUCAUUAACUAGGGUCAAAUAAAUUAAAGUCAAAUACUUUGUUUGAUUUAUUCAAACUUAAAAAAAACAAAAUAUCUUCAUAUUUUUCCAUUAUAAACAAAAUUAAACAGUUCUAACAUAUUAUUCAUAUAAAAUAUAUUUAAUUCAUGUAUAGAAACAAAAAUAACAUUUUACACAUUUUAAAAUAAUAUAUAAAAAGAAAAUUAUUUUCUUUUACAAAAUUUACAUUAAUUUCCUUUAUUUUGAACAAGCACUCAAAAUAUUAAAGAAAAUUAUUCCAGAACAAUCAAUUUCUCAACUAACAUAACAUAAGAAAAUUACUAUUAUUAUUAACUAUUUAUCUAAAAUUAUAUGUUUGACAACUCUAAAAGUUUCCUAUGUUGAUAUUAUUAUCACAUAUAUUAUUUUUAACUUCCUAAUCAAUGACAAUUUAAUAAGUGAGUUUUCAAAUUUUCAUAAAAAUUGUGUCAUUUUUAAAAAUCUAAUCUCAAAAAUCCAUUUCUCUUUCCUUAUUUAUUUAAAUUAAAUGUCUAAAGCAUAUGUAUUUAUAAUAAACCUUUUUAUCAUUUUAAUCAAGAAUAGGUUUUUUUUGUUCAUUACUUGUCUUUCAUAUUCUAUUGCCUUGUGUCUAUUAUUAUUAUUUUCGACAAACAAUACACAAAUCAUGCAAUCAACCUCAAUUUUUUUUUUCUCCUUCUCUAUACACCCGCACCAUCCUAUUACCACAAAUAGGUUUCCCAAACACCACCUCUAUUUCUUCUCUUUUAUUAUUAUUAAUAUUAUUUUCUUCUCUUCACAAAGUCAACAUCCAAACCAUUCCGUGGCUUUUUUUUUUUUUUUUUGUCUUGUUUUUUUUUCCUCUCCCGUUUAGCCGUGACACUCUCCAACCAUUCUUUUUUUUCUUCUAUUAUUUUUAUUAUUAUAAUUUUUUUUUUUUUUUAUCCUUUUACUCAUCAGAAAGCCGUGCCCUCACUCACAUCCUUCUUCCCUUUCCAUUUUUAUUUUGAUUUGUUUUUAUUUUUUUACACAUCCUACAAUUCGUGGCGUAGCACGUUUUCUUUUUUUUUUAAAAAAAAAUUUUCCUAAGUCAAAAUUUUUUUCAUGAUCAUACACUUUUCCUAUAAUUAUUCCUUCUUAUUUACUUAUUUAUUUUGAUUUUUACUUGUUUAUAUCUAACCAUUUCAAAAUUUGGAUUUUCUCUAUUUUCAUAAAUAAAUCAACUUAUAUUUAUAAAUUUUCAAACUUUUUUUAUCUAAAAUUAAACAAGCAAACUCUUAUUUAGAUUUUUCAAAGAAUAUCAAAGAUGUUUAAAUUUAAUUAACGAAUUUAAAAUACUAAUCUAAGCUUUAGAAUCUUAUCUGGAAAACUAAUCUUCAAAUCUUUAAUCCUACAUUAUCCUAAGUUUUCUAAAUUUUGUAAUCAUCGUGUAAAAAUGUUUUUGAAUAAAAAACAUUAGAAAAUUUUAUUUUAUACGUAGAGUUUUUAAAUGCAAAAAGAUAUUUUUAUCCUUAUUACAUUUAUUAAAUUUAUUUGUUAUUUUUCUUUUAUUCUAAUUUAUGAUUUUACCCUUAACAAUAUAUUUGGGGCAUUACAAUCCCUUGACAUGGAAACUUAUCGCUGCAAUAAAGCUUUAUGGCCUCAUUUGAAGAAUUUGUUCUUUUAAUGUUCGAGUACAACACAUGUUGCACUUGAACCGCCCAGCUCUACAUCAUUUGUAUUAGGGAAAUCAUGAACAACAAAUUGAAGGUUAAUGAUAUUGGUUUUGUUUGUCAAGAUAUGGGUUGAACUUUUGAGUUUCCAUACCUAUGAUUUGUGUUCAAUUGGUUUCCAUAGUUUUGUGAUGAAAACAAUAUUUAUAUGGGCAUUCGCGUUUUAUUUUAUUUUUGGGUUAUUUUAAUUUUCAAUCCCAAUCCAUUUUUAUGUGAUAAUGGCGUGGUUUGCAGAUAUGACAUNNNNNNNNNNNNNNNNNNNNNNNNNNNNNNNNNNNNNNNNNNNNNNNNNNNNNNNNNNNNNNNNNNNNNNNNNNNNNNNNNNNNNNNNNNNNNNNNNNNNAUAAGUGUGUGAUCAGAACCAAUAACCCUAGCUUCCACGCAAUUCUCAAGUGCAACUUGGAGACACAUCUCCUUUUUCAGUCACUUUGGCAUCGUUGCACACAGCUGUGGCUGCUUUUCCUCCUCCAGUUUCUAUAUCAAUGUCUUGCAGCACAAUCCCCUGACAUGGAAACUUGCUGCUACAAUCAAGUUGUAUAGCCUCACUUGAAGAACUUGUUCCUUUGAUGUUCUGGUACAACACAUUUUGCACUUGAACCGCCUGGCUCUGCAACAAAACCAUUUGUAUUAGGGAAAUCAUGAACAAUUAAUUGAGGGUUGAUGAUAUUGGUUUUGUUUGUGAAGAUCCAGGGUUGAGGUUUGAGUUUCCAUACCUCUGAUUCGCAUGGUUUGUCGUCGUCACAGUACUUUUGGUUUAUUAUUAUAGGGUUGUCCACAUCAUGCAUUUCAAUGUUCUGGAAUUUGAUGUUGCUUGCGCUUCCAGACCCUCCCUGCAACAAAAUUCUUGUGUUAAUAUUUGACUGAUCGAAAGCUUAAGUUAUUAAGUAAUAAAUGUAAUAAGUCAAUAACGCAUAUUAAAUUAACUUAUACUAAAGCUUCUUCAUAAUAUCCGACUCAUACAAACAUAUGUAUGCAUGUUUCUUCUUACCUGCCAUGUCUUGAUUCUAACUCCAUUUGUGGUUCCCGAAAGGGUUGCCCCGUUCACUGUAAUAUCUGAAACGUGAGCCUCUGAGUUUCCAGAUCCUAAGCUUCCAAUACUGAGGAGUUGGCCAUGGAACAAAGACAAAAUUCAAAAGAAAUACGUAUAUGUUAGUGUUGAUUAAUGAGUCAUAUAUAGAAAUUAAGAUUAAUUUAGCAAUAUUAAUGUUGGGGUUACUGGGUUAAUUACCUGAUUCCAUGGCCUGGUCCACAGGUGAUACCAGUGGCUUGCAAGUUCUGGGUUCCACUCACAAUUGAAAUACAGUCGUCACCUUCAACAAUCAAACAAAAUUUGUCAUUGAUUCAGCAUGGUUACAACUAUUUUUAAAAAAAAUAUUUUUAGUUUUGUUUUUAGGCAAAUUUUGAGGAUACCUGUUCCUAUAACUGAGCUUGAAAUCUGGAUAUUUUGGGUGUCAGUCACAUGGAUUCCAUCAGUGUUGGGGCUGUCCCCUGGUGCAGUUACAGUGAGACCCGAAGCUUGAACACCCACGCAUUUUUCAAAAGAAACAUGCAUUUGCUGGGCAUUUUGGAUCUUGAGGUUCUUCACUACCAAGUUCUUGCAGUUAUAGAAGGUUAAGGCCUGCCAAAACAUAAUUCCAAACAAGAAAUUAUAUGUCUUCCAUUUUCAUAUAAACAUCAUAGAAGAAGUUUGCACUCAUAUGAGAGGAUGUAUCAACGUACCGUUGGUGCAUCCUUGCAAGGCUGCGGGAAUUUAAAGGGAAAAAAAAAAUUCAGCCAAUGAUCAUUAAAAGAUAAUCAAAAGAAAAAAAAAAGGGAAAAAGAGACAGAGACAGAGAGUCAUGAGUGGCAUAAUUACAAGAUCAUCGUUCACUUUGCAAGAGUUCUCCCACCAUGUCUUCCCAUUUCCAUUGAUGGUUCCACCACCUUGAACCGCUAAGUUUUGGACAUUUUCAAAGACAAGCCACCGGGUCAUAUCGUUACUGUAGGCGGAUCGAUCAGCAGAUGCCUGGACAGUUCCAUAUAUCUGGUUUUUUUUUUCCCCCAAAAAUAUCAUUAGUCAUUUUAUACGAUAUACAUUAAUUAGAAGCAGCUGCUUGAAGGUCUGAAGAAAAUGACUCCUGUGAUGGAAUCUCACCUGCACUGUAAUACUGGAUUUGCAAGGACCUUCAAAUGUAAUUGGCUUAAGGAGAUAGUUCUUGUUUUUGGGCACCACUAGGACAGAUCCUUGAGAUGAACAAGCUGCCUCCCAAGCUUUCUUGAAUGCCUGAAAGACCCAACAUUGGUUAUAUAUAUAUUACUUCGCAUGACAGAACCAAUGAAAAUAAGACUGAAUCCAACAAGCCCUAAUAAUUUUAAUAUGUUUGACUCAUAGCAUAGUUUGUCUUCAUUGGAUGUGAAGUUCUUCAAUAGUAAUUAGCCAUCAUUUUCAUUUAGAUCAAUGAUAUAAAUAGUAAUUACCCAAUCCGCUUCUAGUAUACAAUGACAUACUAUAACUUAUUGUGAUCAAUAUAUCAAAAUGCAAGCUCAGAUCAAACUAUAUAGAACAAUAAUGCAGAGAUCAUGGAAAUGAGGACAUUCUUAUAAGGUUAAUAAGUCAAUACACAUAUUGACGUCUCUAGCUAUAUCCAUACCUCUGUGGCAUCACUUCCAUCACCUUUAGCUUCAUAAUCAUUCACGCUAACCGUUUUAACUGAAGCCAAAGAUCUACCCACUUUACAAAUCCUCUUAGAGCCCAUGAUUUUACUUCCAAAUUUGCGCCAUGGCCAGCUCUCAUACGCCCGGGAAGAAUCAUAGCCAUAUGCGUCGUCAAGAUAAUCGUAAGGUGGGUUCCCUUGCAAACCGUAGUAGCAUGGGAAAGAAAGCAGAAAGACGAUGAGAAACGGGAUGAAGCGUCUUUGUAGAGACAUUGUUUCUUCUUUGGUAAAGGGGAGAGAAAAUAUUCUGAAAGAUAUUAUUUUGAGGCUAAGAUUGGAAUGAUGAUGAGAGGAAUGGAGGUGAUGAAAAUAUGAAGUGCUGAGGUAAUGUAUUUAUAGAGAAUCAUCAGGGGUUUUGGGUCUACCGUCCAUCACACAAUGCCCCUUGAGGUAUGGAUUGGGAAUCAUUUGGGAUACGCAAGAGUACUGCUACCAGAAUGAACUCCUGGACACCAUGGCUGACUUUGAUGCAUUCAUGCAUCAGUCCAUAUUUAUUUUUUAUUAAUAUCUAAUCUGUAUAGCAUGUCGUGCAUAUUUGCGGUUAUACAUUUUGAAUAAAUUCAACUACAUAAAUUUUGCAACUUAUAAUGAGAAAAACUCAUUAACACUUAGAUCAACGAGCCUCAUCACGUAAAGAAGGCAAAUAUUGAGGGCCACUUUUUCAUAUACAUGUACAUGUAACAUGCAUAUAUGCAUCAUCUAGCCUAUUUUGUACGUCCAUUAAUUAUCAUCAGAUUAUUCCAAAUGAUUAUCCUAGAUUAUGGCAGCUGGCUAAAAUAGGUCACAUAAAAAUUGGUAUUUAUCCUUUGACUCUAUAUAUCGAAUGAUGCACACAUGAAAGAUAUGUAAAUGCACCAAACGAUCCAAACAUAUGAUCAUGAUGUCACAGAGAUGAAGUAUGGCAAGCUAGUGACCUCCCCUUUCCUUCACAUGUUGCCAAAUUCCACACUUGACACAACCCGAUUCGCCCGGAAACAAUCUGCCCCGCACUUUCAGAAGCGUGUGGGGGUUUUCAUGGAAUUCAUGCAUAAAAAAUAUUGAGUUGCCGUAAUCUAUUUUGAGGGAUAAAAAGGGUGGGCAUGGGAUUUGAGUAGAGGUGUUUGUUGAGUUCCUACGUGGUAAUCUCUCUUCCUUAAUGAAUAUAAGACGUUAGAGCACUUCACAUGCUGAUGGAAUUUGAACCUUUUCACAAGAUGGCAUUGUCUCAUGAUUCCCAAAAUUAACAAGCAAUCAAACUGAGAAAAACUUGAGCUUUAGGCUUGUAAUAUGGUGUCGCCACGUGUACACCCCGUGACAAAUCAUAGAUCACGUUCUGCCAACCAUUUGCCAGUUCGUUGAUACAUAAUAGUAGAGAGGCGUGGUUUGAAAAAUGGGGGUUGGAUUACACAUGCAAGGUGGUAUGGGCUGAAGAAUAUGAGUUCAUUAGAUAACAGCUUAUCAUGUAUUUUGACAACCCAGUUUGAAAAAGGCCAUCAAUCAUCAUCAAUCAUUAUGGGCUCGUGUAUCUUUUUUUAAUGGGUAAUGCGUUAGCUAGGAUUAUGAAAUGGGAAGUCGACCUCAUAGAAGGGUUAGCGCAGUUGUAAAGAAGUUUGAGCCAACUGUUUUGGAAAGUUGCUUUCAAUGGAAGGUACACAGGAACUUUAUACCAAAUUCCAUCAAAUGGCUGAUUCAGAAUGGAAGAGUGGAAACUUGAAUCAAAGGGUGUAAUAUUAAUUAGAUCAUUUUCUUCAAACCAAGCAAAAAGUUCGGCCAAGCACAUGAGCCUAACCGUUGCCAAUUUCAACACUGCAAGUUAAUUUGUGACUACUCCAUUUCAGCUCUUUCCUUCUUUUUGCUUUUUUCUCAUUUUGUUCACUUUGGUGUAAAACGCAUUUUUUAUUUUAUUUUAUUCAUUUGGGUGUGAAGCUGAGAAAAAAUAGAGUAAGAUGAUGGAGUUGCCUGCUUGAAACGAUUAUAAUAUAAUAUUAUUGUUUAAGAUUACGUAUGAUUCUCGAAAAGUAUUAAGAGAAGAAUAAAAUUAUUAAAAAAAAAUACGUUAGCUAAGAUUAUUAAAUGGGAAGUCGACCUCAUAGAAAGGUUAGCGCAGUUGUAAAGAAGUUUGAGCCAACUGUUUGGAAAGGGCCUCAUUUGAAGAAUUUGUUCUUUUAAUGUUCGAGUACAACACAUGUUGCACUUGAACCGCCCAGCUCUACAUCAUUUGUAUUAGGGAAAUCAUGAACAACAAAUUGAAGGUUAAUGAUAUUGGUUUUGUUUGUCAAGAUAUGGGUUGAACUUUUGAGUUUCCAUACCUAUGAUUUGUGUUCAAUUGGUUUCCAUAGUUUUGUGAUGAAAACAAUAUUUAUAUGGGCAUUCGCGUUUUAUUUUAUUUUUGGGUUAUUUUAAUUUUCAAUCCCAAUCCAUUUUUAUGUGAUAAUGGCGUGGUUUGCUGAUAUGACAUUAGACGACUCAGCGUGAAGUUGGGCCUUGAAGCCCGAUUAUCUAGUGGGUGGGCCUUGAAGCCCAAAAGUAACCUAGUUCUAAUGGCCUUUGGGGCUGAACUUCGGAUAUGGGCCAAUUUCAUGUUGCAUGCAUUUUUUAAAAAUAAAUAUAUUUUUAUUAUUUUGAGGAAAUACUAGAUAGCAUGGUAUUGAAUCAAGGGAGAAAAACUCUAAAUUUUCAGAAAAAUGAAAAGAAUUAGUAAAUACUAAGAUGAAAUUAACAACAAAUAAAAGGUCAUUUUAUUGAUGAUAAACAAUAAGAGAACAUCAACUCCAUUGUCUUAUUCUAUAGUAAGCAAAUUAAUAUCACAUACUCACUAUUACUUUUAAAUAAUUAGUAUAUAUCUAUAAACACUGAUAAGUGUGUGAUCAGAACCAAUAACCCUAGCUUCCACGCAAUUCUCAAGUGCAACUUGGAGACACAUCUCCUUUUUCAGUCACUUUGGCAUCGUUGCACACAGCUGUGGCUGCUUUUCCUCCUCCAGUUUCUAUAUCAAUGUCUUGCAGCACAAUCCCCUGACAUGGAAACUUGCUGCUACAAUCAAGUUGUAUAGCCUCACUUGAAGAACUUGUUCCUUUGAUGUUCUGGUACAACACAUUUUGCACUUGAACCGCCUGGCUCUGCAACAAAACCAUUUGUAUUAGGGAAAUCAUGAACAAUUAAUUGAGGGUUGAUGAUAUUGGUUUUGUUUGUGAAGAUCCAGGGUUGAGGUUUGAGUUUCCAUACCUCUGAUUCGCAUGGUUUGUCGUCGUCACAGUACUUUUGGUUUAUUAUUAUAGGGUUGUCCACAUCAUGCAUUUCAAUGUUCUGGAAUUUGAUGUUGCUUGCGCUCCCAGACCCUCCCUGCAACAAAAUACUUGAGUUAAUAACCGACACAUCGAAAACUUAAAUUAUUAAGUAAUGAAUGUAAUAAGUCAAUAAUGCAUAUUAAAUUAACUUAUACUAAAGCUUUUUCGUAAUAUCCGACUCAUACAAACAUAUGCAUGCAUGUUUCUUCUUACCGGCCAUGUCUUGAUUCUAACUCCAUUUGUGGUUCCCGAAAGAGUUGCCCCGUUCACUGUAAUAUCUGAAACCAGAGCCUCUGAGUUUCCAUAUCCUAAGCUUCCAAUACUGAGGAGUCGGCCAUGGAACAAAGACAAAAUUCGAAAGAAAUGCAUAUAUGUUAGUGUUAAUUAAUGAGUCAUAUAUAGAAAUUAAGAUUAAUUUAGCAAUAUUAAUGUUGGGGUUAAUGGAUUAAUUACCUGAUUCCAUGGCCUGGUCCACAGGUGAUACCAGUGGCUUGCAAGUUCUGGGUUCCACUCACAAUUGAAAUACAGUCGUCACCUUCAACAAUCAAACAAAAUUUGUCAUUGAUUCAGCAUGGUUACAACUAUUUUAAAAAUAAAAAAAUUUAGUUUUGUUUUUAGGCAAAUUUUGAGGAUACCUGUUCCUAUAACUGAGCUUGAAAUCUGGAUAUUUUGGGUGUCAGUCACAUGGAUUCCAUCAGUGUUGGGGCUGUCCCCUGGUGCAGUUACAGUGAGACCCGAAGCUUGAACACCCACGCAUUUUUCAAACGAAACAUGAAUUUGCUGGGCAUUUUCGAUCUUGAGGUUCUUCACUACCAAGUUCUUGCAGUUAUAGAAGGUUAAGGCCUGCCAAAAUUAAAACAUAAUUCCAAACAAGAAAUUAUACAUCUUCCAUUUUCAUAUAACAUCCUAGAAGAAGACGACUGCACUCAUAUGAGGGGAUAUAU
rnacentral:lncRNA from 1 species